rnacentral:rRNA from 1 species
UUUCGACGAGUCGAGUUGUUUGGGAAUGCAGCUCAAAAUGGGUGGUAAAUUUCAUCUAAAGCUAAAUAUUGGCCAGAGACCGAUAGCGCACAAGUAGAGUGAUCGAAAGAUGAAAAGCACUUUGGAAAGAGAGUUAAACAGUACGUGAAAUUGUUGAAAGGGAAGCGCUUGCAACCAGACUUGCGCGCUGAUGAUCAUCCGGGCUUCUGUCCGGUGCACUCGUCUGCGCUCAGGCCAGCAUCGGUUUCGGUGGUGGGAUAAAGGCCUUGGGAAUGUAGCUCCUCUCGGGGAGUGUUAUAGCCCUCGGUGCAAUGCCGCCUACCGGGACCGAGGACCGCGCUUCGGCUAGGAUGCUGGCGUAAUGGUUGUAAGCGACCCGUCUUGAAACACGGACCAAGGAGUCUAACAUCUAUGCGAGUGUUUGGGUGUCAAACCCAUACGCGUAAUGAAAGUGAACGGAGGUGAGAACCCUUAAGGGUGCAUCAUCGACCGGUCCUGAUGUCUUCGGAUGGAUCUGAGUAAGAGCAUAGCUGUUGGGACCCGAAAGAUGGUGAACUAUGCGUGAAUAGGGUGAAGCCAGAGGAAACUCUGGUGGAGGCUCGCAGCGGUUCUGACGUGCAAAUCGAUCGUCAAAUUUGCGUAUAGGGGCGAAAGACUAAUCGAACCAUUGGGAAAGUACAGUUACUAGGUGGUUAAGAGGCAGCCGAGAGGCAAGCCUAGUCCUGCUACUAUAGCAGGGCAACACUGUCAAAUUGUUCGGGGACGUCCUGUUAAAUCUCAAGCUACCGCAGCUCGUCCGAAAGGGCAGUGCGCACCGGGUUAACGACCUCGGGGAUGGUAAGAACGCUUGGGUAGGGAUUAUCCGCAGCCAAAUCUCUAAGGGGCACUAAUUAGGAGCCCUACGAGAUAGGUCCACAGACUUGACGAUAG